rnacentral:rRNA from 1 species
GACGAACGCUGGCGGCGUGCUUAACACAUGCAAGUCGAACGGAAAGGCCUCUUUCGGGGGGUACUCGAGUGGCGAACGGGUGAGUAACACGUGAGUAACCUGCCCUUGACUUUGGGAUAACUUCAGGAAACUGGGGCUAAUACCGGAUAGGAGCUCCUGCUGCAUGGUGGGGGUUGGAAAGUUUCGGCGGUUGGGGAUGGACUCGCGGCUUAUCAGCUUGUUGGUGGGGUAGUGGCUUACCAAGGCUUUGACGGGUAGCCGGCCGGGGAGGGUGACCGGCCACAUUGGAACUGGGAUAGGGCCCGGCUUCCAACGGGAGGAAGCAGUGGGGAUUUUUGCACAAUGGUGGAAGCCUGAUGCAGCAACGCCGUUUGCGGGAUGACGGCCUUCGGGUUGUAAACCGCUUUCGCUCAUGACGAAGCUUUGUGUGACGGUAGUGGGUAAAGAAGCACCGGCUAACUACGUG